rnacentral:rRNA from 1 species
UUAAGUUAUUAAGGGCGCACGGUGGAUGCCUUGGCACUAGAAGCCGAUGAAGGACGUUACUAACGACGAUAUGCUUUGGGGAGCUGUAAGUAAGCUUUGAUCCAGAGAUUUCCGAAUGGGGAAACCCAGCAUGAGUUAUGUCAUGUUAUCGAUAUGUGAAUACAUAGCAUAUCAGAAGGCACACCCGGAGAACUGAAACAUCUUAGUACCCGGAGGAAGAGAAAGAAAAUUCGAUUCCCUUAGUAGCGGCGAGCGAAACGGGAAGAGCCCAAACCAACAAGCUUGCUUGUUGGGGUUGUAGGACACUCUAUACGGAGUUACAAAGGACGACAUUAGACGAAUCAUCUGGAAAGAUGAAUCAAAGAAGGUAAUAAUCCUGUAGUCGAAAAUGUUGUCUCUCUUGAGUGGAUCCUGAGUACGACGGAGCACGUGAAAUUCCGUCGGAAUCUGGGAGGACCAUCUCCUAAGGCUAAAUACUCUCUAGUGACCGAUAGUGAACCAGUACCGUGAGGGAAAGGUGAAAAGCACCCCGGAAGGGGAGUGAAAUAGAACCUGAAACCGUGUGCUUACAAGUAGUCAGAGCCCGUUAAUGGGUGAUGGCGUGCCUUUUGUAGAAUGAACCGGCGAGUUACGAUUUGAUGCAAGGUUAAGCAGUAAAUGUGGAGCCGUAGCGAAAGCGAGUCUGAAUAGGGCGUUUAGUAUUUGGUCGUAGACCCGAAACCAGGUGAUCUACCCUUGGUCAGGUUGAAGUUCAGGUAACACUGAAUGGAGGACCGAACCGACUUACGUUGAAAAGUGAGCGGAUGAACUGAGGGUAGCGGAGAAAUUCCAAUCGAACCUGGAGAUAGCUGGUUCUCUCCGAAAUAGCUUUAGGGCUAGCCUCAAGUGAUGAUUAUUGGAGGUAGAGCACUGUUUGGACGAGGGGCCCCUCUCGGGUUACCGAAUUCAGACAAACUCCGAAUGCCAAUUAAUUUAACUUGGGAGUCAGAACAUGGGUGAUAAGGUCCGUGUUCGAAAGGGAAACAGCCCAGACCACCAGCUAAGGUCCCAAAAUAUAUGUUAAGUGGAAAAGGAUGUGGCGUUGCCCAGACAACUAGGAUGUUGGCUUAGAAGCAGCCAUCAUUUAAAGAGUGCGUAAUAGCUCACUAGUCGAGUGACACUGCGCCGAAAAUGUACCGGGGCUAAACAUAUUACCGAAGCUGUGGAUUGUCCUUUGGACAAUGGUAGGAGAGCGUUCUAAGGGCGUUGAAGCAUGAUCGUAAGGACAUGUGGAGCGCUUAGAAGUGAGAAUGCCGGUGUGAGUAGCGAAAGACGGGUGAGAAUCCCGUCCACCGAUUGACUAAGGUUUCCAGAGGAAGGCUCGUCCGCUCUGGGUUAGUCGGGUCCUAAGCUGAGGCCGACAGGCGUAGGCGAUGGAUAACAGGUUGAUAUUCCUGUACCACCUAUAAUCGUUUUAAUCGAUGGGGGGACGCAGUAGGAUAGGCGAAGCGUGCGAUUGGAUUGCACGUCUAAGCAGUAAGGCUGAGUAUUAGGCAAAUCCGGUACUCGUUAAGGCUGAGCUGUGAUGGGGAGAAGACAUUGUGUCUUCGAGUCGUUGAUUUCACACUGCCGAGAAAAGCCUCUAGAUAGAAAAUAGGUGCCCGUACCGCAAACCGACACAGGUAGUCAAGAUGAGAAUUCUAAGGUGAGCGAGCGAACUCUCGUUAAGGAACUCGGCAAAAUGACCCCGUAACUUCGGGAGAAGGGGUGCUCUUUAGGGUUAACGCCCAGAAGAGCCGCAGUGAAUAGGCCCAAGCGACUGUUUAUCAAAAACACAGGUCUCUGCUAAACCGUAAGGUGAUGUAUAGGGGCUGACGCCUGCCCGGUGCUGGAAGGUUAAGAGGAGUGGUUAGCUUCUGCGAAGCUACGAAUCGAAGCCCCAGUAAACGGCGGCCGUAACUAUAACGGUCCUAAGGUAGCGAAAUUCCUUGUCGGGUAAGUUCCGACCCGCACGAAAGGCGUAACGAUUUGGGCACUGUCUCAACGAGAGACUCGGUGAAAUCAUAGUACCUGUGAAGAUGCAGGUUACCCGCGACAGGACGGAAAGACCCCGUGGAGCUUUACUGUAGCCUGAUAUUGAAAUUCGGCACAGCUUGUACAGGAUAGGUAGGAGCCUUUGAAACGUGAGCGCUAGCUUACGUGGAGGCGCUGGUGGGAUACUACCCUAGCUGUGUUGGCUUUCUAACCCGCACCACUUAUCGUGGUGGGAGACAGUGUCAGGCGGGCAGUUUGACUGGGGCGGUCGCCUCCUAAAAGGUAACGGAGGCGCUCAAAGGUUCCCUCAGAAUGGUUGGAAAUCAUUCAUAGAGUGUAAAGGCAUAAGGGAGCUUGACUGCGAGACCUACAAGUCGAGCAGGGUCGAAAGACGGACUUAGUGAUCCGGUGGUUCCGCAUGGAAGGGCCAUCGCUCAACGGAUAAAAGCUACCCCGGGGAUAACAGGCUUAUCUCCCCCAAGAGUUCACAUCGACGGGGAGGUUUGGCACCUCGAUGUCGGCUCAUCGCAUCCUGGGGCUGUAGUCGGUCCCAAGGGUUGGGCUGUUCGCCCAUUAAAGCGGUACGCGAGCUGGGUUCAGAACGUCGUGAGACAGUUCGGUCCCUAUCCGUCGUGGGCGUAGGAAAUUUGAGAGGAGCUGUCCUUAGUACGAGAGGACCGGGAUGGACAUACCUCUGGUGUACCAGUUGUCGUGCCAACGGCAUAGCUGGGUAGCUAUGUGUG